AAAGACCUUAUGCUUCGGGAGCGGCCGAUGUCUGAUUAGCUAAUUGGUGAGGUAAAUGCGUACCAAGGCGACGAUCAGUAGUUGGUCUGAGAGGGCGACCAGCCACACUGGGACUGAGACACGGCCCAGACUCCGACGGGAGGCAGCAGAGGGGAAUGUUGGACAAUGGGCGCAAGCCUGAUCCAGCAAGGCCGGGUGAGUGAAGAAGGCCUUCGGGUUGUAAAGCUCUUUCAGUUGAGAAGAAAAGGUUGUGCUUAAUACUCACAAUCCAUGACGGUAUCGACAGAAGAAGCACCGGCUAACUACGUGCCGGCAGCCGCGGUAAUACGUAGGGUGCGAGCGUUAAUCGGAAUUACUGGGCGUAAAGGGUGCGCAGGCGGUUCUGUAAGUCAGAUGUGAAAUCCCCGGGCUUAACCUGGGAAUU
rnacentral:rRNA from 1 species